rnacentral:rRNA from 1 species
GAUGAACGCUAGCUACAGGCUUAACACAUGCAAGUCGCGGGGCAGCAUUUCCUUAGCUUGCUAAGGAAGAUGGCGACCGGCGCACGGGUGAGUAACGCGUAUCCAACCUUCCCAUGUCCACGGGAUAGCCCGUCGAAAGGCGGAUUAAUACCGUAUGAGGUCACAUGCGGGCAUCUAAGUGUGACGAAAGGUUUUGCGGACAUGGAUGGGGAUGCGUCCGAUUAGCUGGUUGGCGGGGUAACGGUCCACCAAGGCGACGAUCGGUAGGGGUUCUGAGAGGAAGGUCCCCCCAACAUUUGGAACUGAGACACGGUCCAAACUCCUACGGGAGGCAGCAGUGAGGAAUAUUGGUCAAUGGGCGAGAGCCUGAACCAGCCAAGUAGCGUGCAGGAUGACGGCCCUAUGGGUUGUAAACUGCUUUUAUACGGGGAUAAAGUGAGCCACGUGUGGCCUAUUGCAGGUACCGUAUGAAUAGGACCGGCUAAUUCCGUGCCAGCAGCC